CCUUGCCAGCCCGCUCAGAACUUAAAUGAAUUGACGGGGGCCCGCACAAGCGGUGGAGCAUGUGGUUUAAUUCGAUGAUACGCGAGGAACCUUACCUGGGCUCAAAUGUAUGUUGACGUAUUCUGAAAGGGAUACUUCUUCGGACAAUAUACAAGGUGCUGCAUGGUUGUCGUCAGCUCGUGCCGUGAGGUGUCGGGUUAAGUCCCAUAACGAGCGCAACCCCUAUCAUUAGUUGCCAUCAGGUCAAGCUGGGGACUCUAAUGAAACUGCCUACGCAAGUAGUGAGGAAGGUGGGGAUGACGUCAAAUCAGCACGGCCCUUACGUCCAGGGCUACACACGUGCUACAAUGGCCGGUACAAAGGGUUGCCAAGCCGCGAGGUGGAGCUAAUCCCAUAAAACCGAUCGUAGUCCGGAUCGCAGUCUGCAACUCGACUGCGUGAAGUCGGAAUCGCUAGUAAUCGUGAAUCAGAAUGUCACGGUGAAUACGUUCCCGGGCCUU
rnacentral:rRNA from 1 species